UGCAGGUCCGGCGAGCUGCUGACUUUGAGCGAGGUGAAAGAUUCAGCGGUUUCCCCCGCUGCCACGCCGUGCUGGCAGGUGGAGCAGUUCGUGGUGGCCGGUGAAUGCAGGAAGUGUACGCUCUUUGAGGUGAAGACCCUCCUGGCCUGCAUCAGGACCGCCUUUGUGAUGAAGAUCAACUGCCCCGAGUCUCGGAGGGAGGGAG